GCCACAUGAUGAGUCAAAGGCGAGUGUGACCUUGCGGCGACCAAUCCCGACCUUCGAUCUGGAUGGGGAAGGGUCCGAAAUCUUGGCGGGUGUGCACAAGACCAUCGCAUCCGUUGUAAGGCCGGACCCACAGUGAGGGUGGUGUGCCCUUGUGCCCGGCGACACGGAGGGGAUCGCCCAGAGGAGGGGCACCUCCUCACAUGCCGGGCACGAACAUUCGGGAGGGAGGGAGAGGGGAGGGUCAGAGAUCGAAGGUCGGACAGGCCAGAGUGAAUGAUCGCACAUCUUUGGUAAUCUGAUGGCA